rnacentral:lncRNA from 1 species
GGUGACCGAGAUAAAACCACUAGGAACCAAACCGAGGCCGAAUUGCCCCCAUACCGGGAAGGUAAAACUUUUUGUGUUUUUCAUUUUGGCUGUUGAGCAACAGAGACUGGUCGGGUGUCGGGUUGGUUGUGCGAGCUUGGCCUGGCCACCUAUCCGCUCGGGAAAUGAGGAGUUUCCUCGGGAAUAGAAAUCCGACCCACCUGUGCAAGCUGAGAUUCCCAC